GAUGUUCUACUCACAACAUCUAUUGCUGUAAAGGUUUUGGGAAAAGAUUCGGGGAUGCAUUAUUCACACAUUAAAAAGGUGUCAUUGGGAGAACUAGAUGACAGAUGAAAUUUCUUUAGGUGAAGAUGGUAAUCGAGAGUACAAUACAAUACAACACAACAACGCAACACAACAAUGACAAGGAUGACGCAAUGACAACAGAUCACACAGACAGCAGACUCAUUACAAACAAGGUUUCUUAAGGACAAUGUACUGUUUGCACACAUUACGAGAACAUUGUUACAAUCACAACCACAAUCAAGAGGACAAAUUCAGCAACAUUCUUUGAGAACAUCAAUCAAUAAGAGAAACUGGCAACAUGUCAUUUUGCAAGUAGGCUAAAGGAGAAGAGAACAAGCUGCACAUGAAGAUUCUAAGGAUAGAACACUACAUGACAAUACAAGAGGUUUGAAUCAGGACAGAUAACCAUUCCAAAGCAAACAUUAUUUUUUAAGAUUAAAAAGAAAAUCAGGACAACUGAUCAACAUAUUCAAAAAGUUUGGAAGCAUGAACAAUGUGUAACACUUAGGGACAUCCCACUACACAAGGGAUGCUUUAAAGUUGGAGAAGAUCUCUCAGAUCCCAUAACCCAAUAUCUUCAUUUGACGGAGAGGGGAACUAAAGUGAGCCCCAGAGCUAUUAACUGGCUUACCCCAGGAUUGUGGGGUUCAGUCAAACUCCGAGGUGCCAAUUGUAAUACAGAAAUAAUGCAAGGUGCAGUUUUUGAAGAAGAAAAGGGAGGAUUGUGGAAAAGGCAUGAAGAAAGAGAGAAUUUACAAGCCAAGCCAAGCAUGCAAACCAAAGUAAAGGACAUGAUCUGUCAAUCAAGGUGAAGAUUCCGAACAGAAUGUCCCCAGGAAAGGCAGUUGGGAGCCUGGCCAGAGGAGAUAAACUGAAAAACUUCCUUCUUUGGGAGUUACUGACCAAGGGAGAAACUUCUUCUCUGGGGUUACUGACUAAAGGAAAAACUUCUUCUCUGGGGUUUUCUGACCUGGGUGGCUCUGACAAAGUGAUGGAGAAGAAGCUGGCAUUUCUAGCUUUGAAGUAUUUCUCUUGGUUUUGGAGAGAAACUUCCUUGGCUUCUGGCCGAAGGGGAAGAAGCUGAGAACUGAUUCCUGUUAGCUUUUGUCUCAGGCUAAAGGACCCUUGGGGGUAGGGGGGACUUUUGGAAUUAACCUGAGAAGAAAUUUACUUUUGUUAGUGGCUUUGUGUAAUUGGAAGAAGAAAGAAGAUUUAAGAGUUGUCCUCCAUCUCUCUGACUGUCCCUGAGUCACAAUUGUGACAAGACUGACAUUUCCCCAAAUCCUCCCAAUCCUCCUUAUAGAUUAGGGACAGCUUCAUCCCUCUCACCUCAAUUUCCAUCCUUUUUUUUUUUUGUUUUCCCAUUAAAUCUCCUUACCUGAGAAAAGAAGAGUAAAGGAUAUUUCUCUGAAACCUCAUAGUUCCCCUGAGUUACUUAGAAGGUAACUAAGACUGGGGGAGGGGAAAGGGAAGCAGAAAGGCAUGGUUGGAAACUGGGAGGUGAAGGGCGGUAUUGAAGGAGGAGUAGGUUAGGAAAAAUGUUGAUCUAUUAGCCAUCAAUAGUGAUCAAUAGACAACCCCAUAGUAGCCCCCUCUAGCAGCAUCUCUCUAUCUCUCAGAAGAAAUACCCCUAUCUCCAUUUAUAACUAGGCACCCACAGGUUUCCCUAGUAUAUGACCAGUCUAUCAGAGUAUCCAUUUACAACAACAAGAAAGAGUUCCACAGAUUAUCACAUUUAUUACAACUAGUCUUAAAAUACGGGUCUGAGCAUGAGAGGAUACCUUUUCUUGAAAUCCCAAAAUUCUAGGUUUCUCCAGAUAACUUACCCUACAUUUGAUCCCUACAUUUCAAGCAUCACUUAUGAUCUCAAACAUCCCUAAGUUUCUCAAGAUGCAUUACUUACCCACCUUUAUGAUCAGGAUAUCAUAAACAAUAUAUGUAAAUGAUUAGGCCUCUAGACCAAAAGGCACCUAUUCUCUCUUUCUUGAUUGCCUCCCUUGUUUGUUCCCAUUGUUCAUCUCCUUCCCCAUCUUUCCAAGUCACUUAGAUCACUCCCUUUAGGAUAUAAAAAUUCUGAACAUUUCUUUAUUCAGGGAGGCAGUUGGUCCUGCAUGCUGCCUCCUGAAAAUUUAACCUAAAUAAAUCUCUCGAUCUUUAAAGGCCUUCCACCGAGUCUGUCAUUCUUGAUAGGGAACCCUUGGGAGGUGGAGUCAAGAUGGCAGUUUAGAGGCAGCAAAACUCCAGACCUCCAAAAACCCUUCCUCACCAAUCAAAAACACAAUACUUUGAGGGAACAGAAAACCAAAUCUAACAACAGGACUCUAGAGAAUCAUCAAAAAGUAAUUAUGAAAACAAAAACAAAAACAUUUUUUUAGGGACCCAAUGAGUUAAAAUGAUUUGUAUCCCUAUAAGAAAAGAGGAUAUUCGUAAAUCUUAAAAACUGUUAUUGUCACUUUGGUAGCAAGAAGAAUUAUAUUUAGAGGGAACAGUGACAAACUUUAUAGGACAAAAUGCAGAGAUAUAUAUAGAGAUAUUCAUGUGUGUAUGUCUGUAUGUGUAUCUAGAUAGAUAGAUAUAACUAGAGGUAAAAAAGAGGGUAAUACUAAGAGAAAUAGGAAAAGAGACAAAAUGAGAUAAAUUUAUAUUUCAUAAAGAAACACAUGGCAGGAGUGGGGAAGAACACCAAUACACUGGAAGGGUAAAGAGGUUGGAGACAGGAAAUAUUUAAUUCUUACAUGCAUCAUUUGAAUUUGGGUCCAUUUCAGACUCAAAGAAGGAAGAACAAUCAGAUCCAUUGGGGCAGAGAAUUGAGCUUCACCCUAUAGAGAUGUAGAAGGUUAACAAAUGGACUGGUGGGGAGGGAAGCAAUACAGGGGAGGGAGAGUUUGGGGACUAGUUUAAAGAUAUCUUAAAGAAAAAUAAAAGUGAAGUAAGAAGGGGGUAGAAAGGGAAGUAAAAUAAGGGUGGGAAUUAGGGGGACUGAUUAAAAAUGAAACACUGGUGUAGAAGGAAGUGGUGAAAGAAGAAAGGGCAGGAUUAGGAGUGGAAAUCAAAAUGUUGGUAAAUACACAGCUGGUGAUCAGAACUCUGAAUGUGAAUGGAAUGAACUCACUCAUAAAACACAAGCAAAUAGCAGAGUGGAUUAGAAACCAAAAUCCUAUCACAUGUUGUCUACAAGAAACACACAUGAGGCAAGUAGACACACACAGGGUUAAGGUAAGUGAAUGGAGCAAAAUCUAUUGGGCAUCAACUGAGAAAAAGAAGACAGGAGUUGCAAUCAUGAUAUCUGACAAAGCCAAAGUAAAAACAGAUCUAGUUAAGAGAUAGGGAAGGUAAUUACAUCCUGAUAAAAGGCAGUAUAGACAACGAGGAAAUAUCAGUACUCAACAUGUAUGCACCAAAUAGCAUAGCAUCCAGAUUUCUAAGGGAGAAACUAGUGGAGUUGAAGGAGUAAAUAGAUAGUAAAACCAUACUAGUGGGAGGCCUGAACUUAACACUAUCAGAUUUAGAUGAAUCAAACCAAAAAAUAAAUAAGAAAAACAUAAGAGAUGUGAAUGAAAUCUUAGAAAAACUAGAGUUAAUGGAUAUGUGGAGAAAAAUAAAUAGGGACAAAAAAGGAUACACCUUCUUUUCAGCAGCACAUGGUACAUUCACAAAGAUUGACCACGUACUUGGGCAUAAAAACAUGGCAAACAAUUGCAAAAAAGCAGAAAUAAUAAAUGCAACAACACAAUGAAAAUAAUAAUUAGUAAGGGUACAUGGAGAGGCAAAUCAAAAAUUAAUUGGAAAUUAAAUAAUAUGAUUCUCCAAAAUCAGUUAGUUAAAAAACAAAUCAUAGAAACAAUUUAUAAUUAUCUUGAAGAAAAUGACAAUGAUAAGACAUUCUUUCCAAAAUCUAUGGGAUGAAGCUGACGCAGUACUCAGGGGGAAAUUUAUAUCCUUGAGUUCCUAUAUUAACAAAUUAGGGAGGAGAGAGAUCAAAGAAUUGGGCAUGCAAAUUAAAAAUCUAGAAAGUGAAUGAAUUAAAAAUCCUAAGAUGAAAACUAGAGUUACUAAACAUUAAUGGAGAAAAUAAUAAAAUCUAAAGUGAAAAAAAUAUUGAAUUAAUAAAUAAGACUAGAAGCUGGUACUUUGAAAAAACAAAUAAAAUAGAUAAAUCACUGGUUAAUCUAAUUUUUAAAAAGUAAAGAAGGGGGCAGCUGGGUAGCUCAGUGGAUUGAGAGCCAGGCCUAGAGACAGGAGGUCCUGGGUUCAAAUCUGACCUCAGACACUUCCCAGCUGUAUGUGACCCUGGGAAAGUCAUUUGACUCCCAUUGCCUAGCCCUUACCCCUCUUUUGCCUUGGAGCCAAUAAACAGUAUUGACUCCAAGAUGGAAGGUAAGUGUUUAAAAAAAAGUAAAGAAGAAAACCAAAUUAAUUGUAUCAAAGAUGAAAAGGAAGACCUCGCCUCUAAUGAAGAGGAAAUUAAGGCAAGCAUUAAAAACUAUUAUACCUAAUUAUAUGGUAAUAAAUAUGGCACUCUAGGUGAUAUGGAUGAAUAUUUACAAAAAUAUAAAUUUCCUAGAUUAACAGAAGAAAUUGAAUACAUAAGUAAUCCCAUAUAAGAAAAAGAAAUUGAACAAGCCAUCAAAGAACUCCCUAAGAAAAAAAACUCCAGGAUUAGAUGAAUUCACAAAUGAAUUCUAUCAAGCAUUCAAAGAACAACUAAUCCCAAUAAUAUACAAACUAUUUGACAGAAUAAGCAAAGGAGUCCUACCAACUUCCUUUUAUGACAGAAAUAUGAUACUGAUUCCAAACCCAGGCAGGUCAAAAACAGGGAAAGAAAACUAUAGACCAAUUUCCCUAAUGAAUACAGAUGAAAAAAAUCUUAAAUAGAAUACUAGCAAAAAAGAUUCCAGCAAGUGAUCAUGAGAUUACCAGGUGGAAUUUAUAUCAGAAAUGCAAGAAUGGGUUCAAUAUUAUGAAAACCAUCCACAUAAUUGACCAUAUCAGCAAGCAAACCAACAAUCACAUGAAUAUCGCAAUAGAUGCAGAAAAAGCCUUUGACAAAAUAUAACGCUCAAUCCUAUUGAAAACACUAGAAAGUAUAGGAAUAGAAGGGCCUUUCCUAAAAAUAAUAAACAGUAUCUAUCUAAAACCAUCAGUAAGCAUCAUCUGCAAUGGGGAUAAACUAGAAGCAUUCCCAAUAAGAUCAGGAGUAAAAGAAGGAUGCCUAUUAUUACCUCUAUUAUUUAACAUUUUGCUCGAAAUACUAGCAGUAGCAAUUAGAGAAGAAAAAAAGAAAUUGAAUGUCUUAAAAUAAAUACAGUUUAUGAUAAACCUAAAUAUCCCAGCUUUGGGGAAUCAAAAUCCACUAUCUGCCAAAAGUUGCUUGGAAAAUUGGAAAAAAGUAUGGAAGAGAUUAGGUUUAGAUCAACAUCUCGCACCCUACACCAUGAUAAACUCAGAAUGGUUGAAUGACUUGAAUAUAAAUAAGAAAGUAUAAGUAAAUUAGGUGAAAACAGAAUAGUAUACUUGUCAGAUCUUUGAGAAAGGAAAGACCAAGCAAGAGUUAGAAAAAAUUACAAAAUGCAAAUAAAAUAAAUAAUUUUGAUUACAUUAUAUUAAAAAGUUUUUGUACAAAUAAAAUCAAUGCAACUAAAAUCAGAAGGGAAGCAACAAAUUGGCAAAAAAUCUUUAUAACAAAAACCUCUGACGAAGGUCUAAUUACUCAUAUUUAUAAGGAGCUAAAUCAAUUGUACAAAAAAAUCAAGCCAUUCCCCAAUUGAUAAAUGGGCAAGGGACAGACAAUUUUCAAAUAAAUAAAUCAAAACUAUUAAUAAGCACAUAAUAAAGUGUUCUAAAUUUCUUAUAAUCAGAUAAACGUAAAUUAAAACAACUCUGAGGUAUCACCUCACACCUAGCAGAUUGGCUUACAUGACAGCAAAGGAAAGUAAUAAAUUUCGGAGGAGGUGUUGCAAAAUUGGGACAUUAUUUCAUUCCUGGUGGAGUUGUGAAUUGAUCCAACCAUUCUGAAAAGCAAUUUGGAACUAUUCCCAAAAGGCACUAAAAGACUGUCUGCCCUUUGAUCCAGUCAUAGCACUGUCGGAUUUGUACCCCAAAGAGAUAAUAAGGAAAAAGACUUGUACAAGAAUAUUCAUAGCUGCAUUCUUUGUGGUGGCAAAAAAAAUUGGAAAAUGAGGGGAUGCCCUUCGAUUGGAGAAUAACUGAACAAAUUGUGGUAUCUGGUGGUGAUGGAAUACAAUUAUGCUCAAAGGAAUAAUGAACUGGAGGAAUUCCAUGUGAACUCGAAUGACCUCCAGAACUGAUGCAGAGUGAAAGGAACAGAACCUGGAGAACAUUAUACACAGAGACUGAUGUGGUACAAUUGAAUGUAAUGGACUUCUGCACUAGUAACAAUGUGAUGAUCCAGAAGAAUUCGGAGAGACUUAUGAGAAAAAAUGCUAUCCACAUUCAGAGGAAGAAAUGUGGGAAUAGAAACACAGAAGGAAAACAACUGGAUUGAGGAUGGGUCAAUGGGGAUAUGAUCGGGGACACAGACUCUAAAUGAUCGCCCUAGUACAAAUAUCAAUAAUAUGGAAAUAGGUUUUGAUUAAGGAUACAUGUAAAACCCAAUGGAAUUGCACUAUGCCUAUGGGAGAGAGUGGUGAGGAGGGGAGGGAAAGAACAUGAUUCUUGUAACCAAGGAAAAAUAUUCUAAAUUAACUAAAUAUUUUCCAAAACUAAAAAAAGAGCACCCUCCCUGGACCAAGGGUUAAUCUCCAGCCUCCCACAACAGAUUCAGGACCUUGGAUUCCUUAAUAAUUUAUAGCGAUUCAUAAAACUCUUGCCCUCAUACUUAGUUAUUCACUCUCUGACUUUCAUACAUUUUCUUUUUUUAACAUGAACUCUUCAAAGAAGAUUCUGAUCAGCUAUAUUAGUUUCUGUGUGUAUAUUGCCCUCCUCUUCUUUUUGUCUUCUUUGGGAUAACAUUCCCCUGUGUAGUGAGAAUUUCAUUGUUCAAGAAUGUCUUACAUUUAAAGUAUAUUCCCUUUUAGAGACACCAGGUAUAGCACCAUAACUAUCUUUUCUCUUCAGCUAAAAUCUGUGACCCUUUCCAUUUCUAAGGCUGAUCUUUCUUCCAGUGCCCCAUUUCUCCUACUUGAAAGAAAGAAUGGGGCAGGUGAUAGGAUAUGUAAUCCCAAACUUGAGAUGAAAAUUAAUAAAAUCAAGUUAUCAGAAAAAAUGCCAUGAUUCACUUGUAAUAUAUAUAGUCCUAUUGAAACCUUUAAAAAAACUGGAAUUAAUUCAUCUCUCAUGUGAGUUUAGACAUAAUUUGUUUCUGUUUUGGCUAACAUAGCUAAAAAAGAUAUGUUGUAAAAGAAUGAUCUUUCAAGAAAGAGAAGGAAAGAAUGAAACAAUGAACCAUACCAAGACCUGAAUGAACCACAAUAGUUAUAUGCCACAAAAUCAAUGGGCAAGUUUAUGUGUAAGGAUAAGAGGUAAAUGUAAUUGAAGGUCAGACUCAAUAACCUAAGAAAAUAAUAACUCUUAUUACUAGGUCAAAGUGUUAUAAUUUAAUCUAAUGAAGAAUGGAAGACUUUGAUUUGAAUCCCUCCUAUGACAUCACAUGACAUGUGACAAUGGGCAAAUUUUCCUUUGUAAUUCAGUGUCCUCAGAUGGGUAAAAUAAUAUUUAAUGUGCCCAUAUACUUCAUGUGACACCAUGGGAUAGAAGACUUUAGAAAGCCUGCUUCAGUGUCAGGAGGAUAUAAGUUAGAGCUAACAUUAGCUUUGUGACCUCUGAUAUGUCAUUUGAUUUCUAGGUCCCCCAGGACACUCUUCAAGACUAUAAGUAGCAUAAUGGUUGCUGAUAUUCAUUGACAGAGGAAAUUUCCUCACCAGGGAGUUCCUACCCCAAUAGAUUUAGAGGUCUGGAUGAUAAAAGAAUUCUAUCUAUUUGGAAGGGCCAAAAUGGGUGAGUUCAAAGAUCCAUGUGGGAGUAUACAACUUACAGGAUUGCUAUAGAUCUCAAAUGCUGUCUAUGAGUAAUGUUUUGCAAAUUUUAAAAUGUUAUAGACACUUCUGGAUAAGCAUGGUGGCAGUCUAAAUGCGGGUUACUUACUCUCUCCAGCACACACCAACAAGGACUACCCCAAAAGACCUUAAGAAUCAUUUUCAGAGGAGUGAAGGAGCUGUACAGUAGGGCGCAGCAUUGAAGGUGUGUGGGAUUGGGGCUUUUCCAGUCUAUAAGAGGGUGAAAGGGAUUCCACCCAAACACUAGCCAAUCCAUCCUCCUCUACCCCCAUCUACAGAGCCAGAGCCAGAGCCAGCGCACGGCAAGAUGAAUGAUCAAGGGGCUCCUCUGGAAUGAGUAGGGGGCACUUAUGGGUCCUUGGGAGCUGACUAGGAAUACAUGGGACCCACCACUGAAAGCAGCUAGGCGGAAAAACCCCAGCACAUGAGAAAACACAGACCUUGGGUGCCCAGAGCCAGCAUGCCCGCCAGAGCCAGAGAGUGAGCGAAGAGUGCUUCUGGAGUGAGCAGGGGACACUUCUGGGUCCUCGGGAGCUGACUAGGACUGCAGGGGACUCACCCCUGAAAUCAGCGAUACUGGAAAACCAGGCAGGCAGGAGAGCACAGAUCCUGAGCUCCCCUGGGAGGGUGGCACCGAGAAGAGAUGCAAAGGACUAUGGAGAAUCAAGAGCUUGCCCCAGGCAAAAUCCUUGCUCCUUAUGCGCAGAGAACCUGCCCAGCUGAUUCAGAUUUCUAACUAAAGAGGGAAGGGAAAACAUCCAGAGAAAACAUCCAGAAAAAUGGCUAAUUGUGCACAGGAGCCUCAAAAUCCUUCCCAAAAACCCAAUAAGAAGGCUGUGAUCCUUGAGAAUUUUUAUGGAGGAAAAAUGCAGGCUACAGAGGAAAUACUGGACGAAACUCAUACAAAGGCAAAAACAAAACAAAACAAAAAACAAACAAAACGAACAAACAAACAAACAAAAAAAAACAGAAAUUGUCCACAAGCCCUGGAAGAGUAUCAAAUGGAGCUUAUCAAAAAGAUGGAAGCCUUCUGGAAAGAGAAGUGGGAAAUGGUUCCAAAAAAUGAAGAAAUCAUAGCUGAAUACCAAAAGAUUAAAGCAGAAAACAAGGUCUUAAGGACCAGAACUGAGCAACUGGAAACCAAUGAUCUUGCAAAAGAGCAAGAAUUAAUGAAGCAAAGUCAAAAGACUGACAAAAUAGAAGAAAACAUAAAAUAUUUCACUGACAAGGUGACAGAUCCAGAAAACAGAGAAAGGAGACACAAUUUGAGAAUCAUUGGUCUACCUGAAAAGUCAGAAAUAAACCGAAAUCUUGACACCAUACUACAAGAGAUCAUCCAAGAAAACUGCCCUGAAGUUCUUGAACAAGGGAGCAAAAGAGACGUUGAAAGAGUUCAUAGAACACCCUCUACACUAACCCCCCCCCCCAAAACAACUCCCAGAAAUGUAAUUGUCAAAUCCCAGCUCUUUCAAGCUAAGGAGAAAAUCCUACAAGAAGCCAAAAAGAAACAAUUCAUAUACAAAGAAGCACCAAUCAGGAUCACACAAGACCUGGUAUCUUCAACAGUAAAAGUCCACAAGGCCUGGAACACGAUAUUCAGAAAGGCAAGAGAACUGGGUCUUUAACCAAGAAUCACGUAUCCAUCAAAACUGACUAUAUACUUUCAGAGGAAAGUAUGCGCAUUCAACAAAAUAGAAGAUUUCCAAGUAUUUGUAAGGAAAAGACGAGAAUUAAGUGGAAACUUUGAUAUCCAAAUACAAAGAUCAAGAGAAACAUGAAAAGGUAAAUAUGAAAAAAAAGGGAAAAGGAGAAAAAUGUUUUUUCCCUUUUUUUAUUCAAACUCUGUUCUUUAAGGACUACAAUUAGAUAAAAUUAUAUAUAUUAAUAUAUGGGGAAAUGUUAUUUAUAACUCUCAAAAAUGUUUUUUAUUAUUAUAGUAGAAGAACGAUUCAUACGAAAAGAUUGGGGCAUUAAAGGCUGUAAAAUGAUAUAAAAAAGGUACUAAGAUGAUGGUACUAAGAAAUAUUUGAAGAAAUGAAAUAAAUAGAAUAAUCUUUGUCACACAAAGAUACACAUGGGAAGGGGAGGGGAAGAAUACUCUCAUAAGAGGGAGAAGAAGAGAGUGCUAAUAGGUAAUACUCAAAUAUUACUCUCAGUGAAAUCAAUUCUGAGAGGGAAGUGCAUCUAGAUCCAUGGGGAUCUUGAAGACUAUCUUAUCCUACAGGAUAAGUGAGAAAGGAACACUAAGGGGGGUAGGGCGGAAGGAAUUAAAAAAAGGGAGCAAAGGAGAGGGGGGAGAGAAUUUAACAGACCCUAAAAAAAACAAGAAGGAAACAAAAAGGGAGGGGCCAAAAAGGGAAGCAUAUCAAGGGAGGGGAAUAGGGGGAUCGACUAAAAGUAAACCACUGGUUUAGAAAGAUAUAGUAAAAGAAGAAAGAUCAGAACUAGGAGAGGAUAUCAAAAUGCUAGGGAACUCAAAAGUGACAAUCAUAACUUUGAUCGUGAAUGGGAUGAACUCACCCAUAAAACGCAGACGAUUAGGAGAGUGGAUUAGCAUCCAGAAUCCUACAAUAUGUUAUCUACAGGAAACACACAUGAGGUGAGUAGAUACUCACGAGGUCAGAAUUAAAGGGUGGAGGAAGACUUAUUGGGGCCUCAACUGACAGAAAGAAGGCAGGAGCUGAAAUCAUGAUAACUGACAACGCUAAAGUAAAAAUAGACCUGAUUAAAAGGGAUAGGGAAGGUAAAUACAUCCUGAUAAAAGGGAGUAUCGAUAAUGAGGAAAUAUCACUAAUCGAUAUGUAUUCACCAAGUGGUGUAGCACCCAAAUUUCUAAUGGAGAAACUAGUAGAAUUGAAGAGGAAAUAGAUAGUAAAACUAUACUAGUAGGAGAACUGAACCUACCACUAUCAAAUUUAGAUAAAUCAAAUAAAAAUAAUAAUAAAGAGGUAAAAGAGGUGAAUGAAAUCUAAGAAAAAUUAGAGUUAGUAGAUAUAUGGAGAAAAGUAAAUAGGGACAAAAAGGAAUACACCUUCUUUUCAGCAGCACAUGACACAUUCACAAAUAUUGGCCAUAUAUUAGGUUAUAAAAACAUGGCAUACAAAUGCAGAAAAGCAGAAAUAAUAAAUACAAACUUUUCAGAUCAUAAGGCAAUAAAAAUAAUGAUCAGUAAGGGUACAUGGAGAGCCAAAUCAAAAAUUAAUUGGAAAUUAAAUAAUAUGAUUCUCCAAAAUCAACUAGUCGGAGAACAAAUCAUAGAAACAAUUAAUAAUUUCAUUGAAGAAAAUGACAAUGAUGAGACAUCCUUUCAAAGUCUAUGGGAUGCAGCCAAAACAGUAUUCAGGGGAAAAUUUAUAUCCUUGAGUUCAUAUAUUAACAAAUUACACAGGGCAGAGAUCAAUGAAUUGGACAUGCAAAUCAAAAAACUUGAAAGCAAACAAAUUAAAAACCCCCCAAAGAAAACCAAAUUAGAGAUCCUAAAAAUUAAGGGAGAAAUUAAUAAAAUCAAAAGUGAUAGAACUAUUGAACUAAUAGAUAACAAUAGAAGCUGGUAUUUUGAAAAAACAAACAAAAUAGACAAAAUAUUGGUCAAUCUAAUAAAAAAAGAGGAAAGAAGAAAAUCAAAUUAACAGUAUUAGGGAUGCAAAGGGAGAACUCACCUCCAAUGAAGAGGAAAUUAAGGCAAUCAUUAAAAACUAUUUUGCCCAAUUAUAUGGCAAUAAACAUGCCAAUCUAAGUGAUAUUGAUGAAUAUUUACAAAAAUAUUAAUUACCUAUAUUAAUAGAAGAAGAAAUAGAAUUCUUAAACAAUCCCAUAUCAAAAAAAGAAAUUGAACAGGCCAUCAAAGAACUCCCAAAGAAAAAAAAUCCCCAGGGCCUGAUGGAUUCACAAGUGAAUUUUAUCAAACAUUCAAAGAACAGCUAAUCCCAAUACUAUACAAACUAUUUGACAUACUAAGCAAAGAGGGAGUUCUACCAAAUUCAUUUUAUGACACAAAUAUGGUACUGAUCCCAAAGCCAGGCAGGCCAAAAACGGAGAAAGAAAACUACAGACCAAUCUCCUUAAUGAACAUAGAUGCAAAAAUCUUAAAUAGGAUACUAGCAAAAAGACUCCAGCAAGUCAUCACGAGGGUUAUUAACUUUGAUCAGGUGGGAUUUAUACUACAAAUGCAAGACUGGUUUAAUAUUGGGAAAACCAUCCACAUAAUUGACCAUAUCAAUAACCAAAUUAAUAGAAAUCAUAUUAUACCAGGAAUGCAAGGAUGGUUCAAUAUCAUGAAAACCAUCCACAUAAUUGACCAUAUCAACAAGCAAACCAAAAAAACACAUGAUUAUCUCAAUAGACGCAGCAAAAGCCUUCGACAAAAUACAAUACCCAUUCCUAUUAAAAACACUAGAACGUAUAAUAGGAAUAGAAGGAUCUUUCCUAAAAAUAAUAACCAGUAUCAACCUGAAACCAUCAGCCAACAUCAUCUGCAAUGGGGAUAAACUAGAUGCAUUCCCAAUAAGAUUAGGAGUGAAAUAACAUGCCCCUUAUCACCUUUAUUAUUCAACAUUGUACUAGAAACAUUAGCAGUAGCAAUUAGAGAAGAAAAAGAAAUUGAAGGUAUUAAAAUUGGCAAUGAGGAGGCCAAGCUAUCACUCUUUGUGGAUGAUAUGAUGGUCUACAUAAGAAUCCUAGAGAAUCAAUUACAAAGCUAGUGGAAAUAAUCAACAACUUUAAUAAAGUUGCAGGAUUCAAAAUAAACCCACAUAAGUCAUCAGCAUUUCUAUCUAUCUCCAGUACAUCUCAGCAGCAAGAAUUAGAAAAAGAAAUUCCAUUCAAAAUCACCUUAGACAAUAUAAAAUACUUGGGAAUCUAUCUCCCGAGACAAACACAGGAACUAUAUGAACGCAACUACAAAACACUUUCCACACAACUAAAACUAGUUUUGAGUAAUUGGAAAAACAUUAACUGCUCAUGGGUAGGAUGAGAUAAUAUAAUAAAAAUGACCAUCCUACCCAAACUUAUCCAUCUAUUUAGUGCCAUACCCACUAAACUUUCAAAAAACGUUUUUACUGAACUAGAAAAAACCAUAACAAAGUUCAUUUGGAAGAACAAAAGAUCAAGGAUAUCCAGGGAAAUAAUGAAAAAAAAUACAAAAGAAGGUUGCCUUGCAGUCCCAGAUCUCAAAUUAUAUUAUAAAGCAGUGGUCAUCAAGACAAUUUGGUACUGGCUAAUGUAAAAAUGGAGAUUUGAACCCCGGACUUCAAUCCCCAGAAGUCCUUGGUAGUUCCCAGAAUUCCCCAAAAUCCCACCUGAGAUACCCACCUGGGCUGAGAACAAAAUGGGUAUUUAAACUGACUGUAUCGCCUACCUCUCUCCCUGCUUCUGCUUCCUAGCACACGCGGCUCUCUACCUAUUAGGCAAGAUGUAGAGUAAGUGGCUGUGAAUGGGCUCUGGGCCUAGACUUGUGCUUUCUUAUUUCUUUAUUUCUUAAUAUUUAAUAAACCUCAUAAAAAUAUAAUACUUUUAGCAGAGAAACUAAUUUUAACUGUUACAGUUUUGGUGAACCAUGUUGGUUAUGACAAAAUACCCUCAAUCUUUUAAUAGCUAGUGCCUAUUUUUUAAAGUCACAUUUGCAAGCCUCUUGACUCAUCCCAGCUGCUACCUGCCUGUUUCUGGGACCCCAGUGGCUGCUGCUCCUGGUCUUUCUCUUGCUUUCCUGGCUCAGCUGAUUCCUGCACCCUUACCUCUGACCCAGAUGGCUCAUCACCCCACGCUAAGCCCAGGACCCAGGCUUCUGGUAGCAGACCCAAAUUCUUCAGGAUCAAAAACCAGCUGGUAAAAAAACGGGGGGGGGGGUGAUUUUUCUUUAUGCUACAAUUAGCCUCCAUGUGGCAAGGGGCAGGGGAUAGCAGAGGGAGAGAAAGAGGGAAAGUAGGAAGAGACUUUUCCAAACAGGAACUUAAAGCAUGGCUAUUUUAAAAGGAUAUCUUUUGACUGUAUUGAUUCUUUCACUUAGCUCACCUGGGAGCCAGGGGAAAAAUUCAACUCCCUGCAACUCUUUAGCCAAAUUUGAGAUUCCUAAAAUCCACCCUUACUAUGGGGAGGCAGAUCAGCAGCUCAGUGUAUUGAGAGCCAUGCCUAGAAACGGGAGGUCCUUGGUUGAAAUCUGGCCUCAGACACUUCCUGGUGGUGUGGCCCUGGACGGGUCAUUUAACCCCCAUUGCCUAGCCAUUACCAAUCUUCUGCCUUCUGACAAUAGGCAUCUAAAUGGAUAAUUAAAAAAAAAAAACAAAAAAGGACCUUAAAGAGACUGGAGGUUAUAUUUUUAAGGCAUUUCAGACUCCAUGUUUUAUAAAAACCUCUGUAUUCUAUUGCAUUUUGCUGAUUGCUUUGUUUAAGAUUUAACUUUGUGAUUUUUAGUUCAUAUAUUACUGCAUUCAAUACUAUUCUUUUACACUGGAUCAUUUUAAUUUACUGGGUUUUAACUCCUAUUAUAUUCUGUUGCUUUUCCUCUAUAACUAUAUUGAACAAAUAUUAUUGAGUAAGCCCACAUAAAAACAGCUUUUCUAUUUUUGACUUUGUAAAUUGUCACAUAGAGGAUAGAUGUACUCCAUCAGAAAAUUGCUAUAACAACCUUUGGAAAAUUUAAUGAGCUAAAUAUCUCAAACUGAUUUUAAGUGUUCUUUAGACAUAAUUUAAAGAAUUUUUCUUAACAAUCUCUGGUCAUUUUGCCUGCCUGUAACAUGAGGUAAGGCCCAUUUUAGUAGCUGAAGUGAAAUACAAUUAUAAACCCCAAUUCCCGCAUUUAUAGGAAUGUGAAUGGAAUUUGGGAAGUUAAUCCCAGGGCAUUGUACCCCUAUAAGCCUCCUUCCCCCAAAAAGGGAGCAUCUCUCAUCUUUAACUCUUCAGCUCACUAUUUCCACUACUUCCAGAAUAUCUAGAAUUCUUGAUGAUGUUCUAGACCCAAAUGAGUUUUACUUUGUUUAAAAAUAUGUUUACCAAGGUUGAAAGUAUAUAUCCAUCAGUUCAUAGGCUUUAAAAAUGCCAUACAACAACUUAUGUGAAAUGUGAUAGUAGGUUUGUUUGCUAUUAUAAUUAACUGGACUAUUGAGAAUUUGUGGAUAUUGAUACCUAUAUGUUUGUACUAUUGUUCUUUAUUAAAAAAAAAACUGUUACCUUGUAAAAUUCAUUUGCUUGUACUCACAGUGGAUCAUGGCCAGAUAUGAAGAGGAAAUGGAUCUCAUUUUUGAUGAGAAAGCCUUGUAUUCUAUAUUUCCUUAGCUGACACAGUGUGUCAAUGAUUAUAAGCUACAUUUUUGAAUUUUUAAAACUCUUUUAUUAUUAUAUAUUUCUAGCAUGUGCAAUAUACUAUUUCAGUUUUUUUAUUUUUCUCUCCUUUUUAUAUUUGAUGCACAUGUCACCAGCAUUAAGAUUUUCUUUAACUUUUUUGAUUUUGCAGUAAUAUAAGUUUAAAAUCCUUUUGCUAACGCAUGCCCCAAAAGCUUGAGACUAUAAAAAUUAUGCCACUAAUUAUUUUUAAAAAUUAUGGGACUUUGCUUAAUGAUUCUGUGUGAU